AUGACAUAAUCAGUAGGCCCUCCCUGAAACAUCUAUUGAAACCUGGAGAGGACUAGCUUCUUCUGUGAUGUCACAAGUGUUGUCGUGACUGCAACUCCCUUCAGAUAUCCCUUCAGUACCUCUAGUGUUUACUAAUUUAACUCUAAUCGAGAGUAAACAGUCAUUGUGGAGUGAGAAGGAAGAGGAUGAUGAGAUCAGAGAUGGGAAGAAGGAGGUGGUCUUCUGUCUUGUUAUAAAAAAAGGAUGAAAUACAUGGUAUUUCAGAAAGCUCAGUGAGUCCUUGUAGGAGUUGAGUAGGAUCACUGAAGAGAUAGACUUGUUCUGAGCCUUCUGCAUAUGGGAAUCUAGAGCUGCGAGCCUCUCAGAAACAUCUGGACUUCGCAGUUCUUAUGGCUCCUGGAAGUCAGAGUUUUUAUAUCAUUCAUUUCUUUAUUCCAAAUGCCAAGAAUUUUGAAGAAAAACUCUCAAAACUCAUCCUGGCUGACAAUGUAGAUUAGACGCAUCAGAUGAAAUGAAUUGAAAAACUCUCCUGGGAAUGAAAGUGGUAAGGAAAUCACAUUGAUGUAUCCUAAAUGCAGUGCUAAGAGCAAUAUUCAGACUAGUCUGUGGAGAUGCUGCUGUCAUCAGAGACCACAGACAAUUAGUGGAGAAUGAUUCAGCAUUAAACUGGGAAUGGAAGAUGAUGGUUGAUAUUGUUCUAGUAGAUCUCACUACAUUAAAAA